rnacentral:rRNA from 1 species
AGGACGAACGCUGGCGGCGCGCUUAACACAUGCAAGUCGAACGUGAAGCUGGAGCUUGCUCCGGUGGAAAGUGGCGAACGGGUGCGUAACACGUGAGCAACCUGCCCCGAAGACUGGGAUAACACCGGGAAACCGGUGCUAAUACCGGAUACCUUCUUCCGAUCGCAUGGUUGGAUGAAGAAAUGGAUUCCGCUUCGGGAUGGGCUCGCGGCCUAUCAGCUUGUUGGUGAGGUAACGGCCCACCAAGGCGACGACGGGUAGCUGGUCUGAGAGGACGACCAGCCACACUGGGACUGAGACACGGCCCAGACUCCUACGGGAGGCAGCAGUGGGGAAUCUUGCUCAAUGGGCGAAAGCCUGAAGCAGCGACGCCGCGUGCGGGAUGAAGGCCCUCGGGUUGUAAACCGCUUUCAGCAGGGACGAAAUUGACGGUACCUGCAGAAGAAGGCCCGGCAACUACGUGCCAGCAGCCGCGUAA